rnacentral:rRNA from 1 species
GGGAGGGUGCCAAUGUCCGCAUGUUGCGUGUUCAGCGGCGCCCUUCCAUCCUUCUGUUAACGUUUCUGGUAUUCAGUUACUGGACUCGGGCUCAGAUACUUUACCUUGAGAAAAUUAGAGUGUUCCAGGCAGGCUUGCGCCGGAAUACAUUAGCAUGGAAUAAUAGAAUAGGACUUUAGUCUCCUUUGUUGGUUUGAGGGACUGAAGUA